GGUGAAGGAAUUGAGGAAGCAGGACAUUACCCAUGAGUUUCCCAAGAGAGUUCCAAAUAAGUGUGGUCAUAAUUUUGAAUGGUGAUGGAUCGGUGAGCUCACGUUUGUGAUAUCGGCGAUAUCAUAUCGCAACGCAAAUAUCUACAUAAGGGCAAAAACAUUGGUGAAAUAAUGGCAGAAAAGAGUGUGGUGGUGGACAUCGUCUACUGCGGAGGAUGAGGUUACCACGCCAAGUUCCAGCGACUCAAACAUCAACUGGAACAUGUCUUCUCCGAUGGUCAAAUUAUCAUUCAUGGCGAGCCCACACCCAACAUUUCACACCGAUUUGAAGUUUGGAUCCGAGAUGGUCCGUUACUCCAUUCGAAACGGGGAGGCGACGGAAUGGUGGAUAACGACCAAAAAAUUGAAAAUAUUGUCCAACGGAUCCGAGACCAUUUGAGAGUCUCGGGAAACCCUAUUAACACCCCGUAAUUGUGUCUUUGUUAUUGCGUGAAAUGAAGCGAAUGACCCCAACUCUGCUCACAUGGAGAGGUCAUUUGUGGAUGAGUGCUCACGCGACAUUAUACGCAACAUCAUUAUACAUUUAUUAAAAGCUUUAUUAUUAUUACAAGACUAAUAAACUUAAAUGGUACAAAGCGGUAUAAAUACAGCA